rnacentral:rRNA from 1 species
AUUAAGAGCUUGCUCUUAUGAUUAGUGGCGCACGGGUGAGUAAUAUAUAGGUAAUGUACCUCUUAGUCUGGGAUAGCCACUGGAAACGGUGAUUAAUACCGGAUACUCCUUUUUCAUUUCAAGAUGAAUCGGGAAAAGUUUUUUCGCUAAAGAGAUCGGCCCUAUAUCCUAUCAGCUAGUUGGUGAGGUAAAUGGCUCACCAAGGCAAUGACAGGUAGCGGGUUUGAGAGGAUGAUCCGCCACACUGGUACUGGGACACGGACCAGACUCC